GUACACAGCCACAUCACCCUGCAGCCCAAGACCGGUUACUCACUGAAGCUAAGCAGGGCUGAGCCUGGUCAGUACCUGGAUGGGAGACCACUAGGGAACACUAGGUUGCUGUUGGAA
rnacentral:rRNA from 1 species